GACGAACGCUGGCGGCGUGCUUAACACAUGCAAGUCGAGCGAAGCGGCGGACGGGUGAGAAACACGUGAGUCACCUGUCUUAGACAUUGGGAUAGCCUCGGGAAACAGGGAUUAAUACAAAAUGGUCUAAGAUGGACUCGCGUCCCAUUAGCGAGCUGGUGAGGUAACGGCCCACAAAGGGGACGAUGGGUAGCCGGCAUGAGAGGGUGAACGGCCACAUUUGAACUGAGAAACGGUCCAAACUCUACGGGAGGCAGCAGUGGGGAAUAUUGCACAAUGGAGUGAACUCUGAUGCAGCGACGCCGCGUGAACGAAGAAGGCUUUCGAGUCGUAAAGUUCUUUUAUAUGGGAAGCGGUACCAUAAGAAAAAGCCCCGGCUAACUACGUGCCAGCAGCCGCGGUAAUAC
rnacentral:rRNA from 1 species